AUCUUUGAUGGAUUAUGUGGCCAUGGGUAUAGCAGUUUUAUUUUGUUUUGUUGAAUGUUAAAUCUUUAAAUAUACCGUGUGUGUGUGUGUGUGUGUGUGUGCGUGCGCGCGUGUGUGCGCGCACGCGCGUGUGCACACACACACACACACUGUAUUCAAGGGACCCAGUGAUGGAGUACACCUUCUGUGUAUCCUGGGCUUUA